CAAUGGCAGGAAAUCCAAAUGUGACCUGGGGAGGACCGGUGCCUGGUAAUACAAACAUGAACUGGGGACCUCCGAGUCAAGGUCCAGGAUGGACUGCACCCAGCCAAGGUCCUGUACCUGGAAAUGCAGUUACUAAUUGGGUCCCACCUGGUCAAGGACCACCAUCGGUAAGUGCAAAUCCAGGUUGGGCUCCACCUGGUCAAGGGCCAACACUUGGGAAUGCCAAUCCUGGUUGGAGUGCACCCAAUGCAACUCAGAAUGGAGAUAGGUUCUCAAAUCAAAGGGAUCGAGGUUCUCAUGGUGAUCCUGGUUUCAGUGGUGGCAAACCUUGGAAUAGGCAGUC
rnacentral:lncRNA from 1 species